rnacentral:lncRNA from 1 species
UCUUUUCGGACUCAGCCCGCCUGCACCCAGGUGAAAUAAACAGCCUUGUUGCUCACACAAAACCUGUUUGGUGGUCUCUUCACACGGAUGCGCGUGAAACCCUAUACAUACUGACAGAAUAUAUUUUGCACUACAAAAGAAGAAAUCCAAGCUUGUGAAUUUGGAAGUUUAUGUAGAUAUUGCUCUACACAUACCACUCUCUUCUCUAAAGUAAGCUGAGUUUUCUCUGAGAAGAAAAAGGUGAAGAUCCCUGCCCUCAUUAUGCAAGCACUUGGCACCGGAGAAGAAAAGUUUUAUUGCCCUUUGAAUGGAAGCAGAUGGCUCCAGGUCUGACACUUGGCCAAUGGAGCUGUUGAAUGGUGGUGGAGCCAAC